UUUUAUCCUAUUUUUGAAGUUACCUAAUAUUGUUGUGUUUGGCAUCAGCAGCACCAAAACAGGUCAUUAGGUAAUCACUAGGAAACUGAGAUCCUGUAAAAUAAAAUUAACGUCCCUGUUUUUAGCUGAUUUGAAGGUCUGCAACUGAAAAGUAAUAAAAUCUGUUUUUCACUUGUUUAGCCUUGUGUUUGUUCUUUCCUGCUUUUAUAAGUAAAAAAAUAUACUGAUCCAACCUUACCCCAACAUACAAAUGCCAGCCAGGAGCAUCUCUUAUAUAAUCUAGUGGUAAACAACUACCUUAGUCGCAUGGGUGACUUAGGUGAGUCUUGAUACAAACUGAAGAAGCAUAACAAUUAAUGGUAAAUUAAACAUUUAUUAUCAGUUUUGUUGGUGGUGUUUCUUUAACAGUAAUUACAGGCUAACCAGCUACUUGGCCAGUAUGAAAACAUGUCUGUCAAGCAACACUACAAGAUUUCCUUACAGAACCAAUGACAGCACUCAGCAAUGCACUGAAACUUUCCUCACUUUCAAAGUCAUUUGGAAGAGUUAAUGAAAGCAGACAUGUUGAUGCAAAGAUGGAAGAAACAUUGUCAAAUUUUACUUUGAUUUUACUUAGCCCAAAGUUAGGCAAACAAGUGGAACCAGUGACAAAUAAGACAAAAUUCUUGAGCAUAUGAAUAUCAGCCUUAUGUAAGAACUGUUUAAGGUAAUUUGCUACGGUUCUGUCUUCUUCACUCAUCUCAGUUGGGAACUGCAGUGCAUCAACCAAUUGGGUUGCACUCAACAUAGUAUCACUACUAGGUACAAACAGCUUCUCAAACAUGUCAGGGUUCUCUUUCAUUUUUGCACGAAAACCAAGUACAGCCAAUCCCUCUCGAAGCUGAUCUAGAACAAUCUUGGGUCAGCUUAUGACAUCAUGAAUGAUUAUCCCUUGAAUUACCCUCAUUUUGUUGUCAUUCUAAAACAAAAA